AGAGUUUGAUCAUGGCUCAGAAUCAACGCUGGCGGCGUGCCUAACACAUGCAAGUCGCACGAGAAAGGGUAGCAAUACCUGAGUACAGUGGCGCACGGGUGAGUAACACGUGAAUAAUCUACCUCCGAGUGGGGAAUAACUUAGGGAAACCUGAGCUAAUACCGCAUAACACUUACGAGUCAAAGCAGCAAUGCGCUUGGAGAGGAGUUCGCGGCAGAUUAGUUAGUUGGCGGGGUAAUGGCCCACCAAGACGAUGAUCUGUAUCCGGCCUGAGAGGGCGCACGGACACACUGGAACUGAAACACGGUCCAGACUCCUACGGGAGGCAGCAGUGGGGAAUUUUGCGCAAUGGGGGAAACCCUGACGCAGCAACGCCGCGUGGAGGAUGAAAUCCCUUGGGAUGUAAACUCCUUUCGAUCGGGACGAUUAUGACGGUACCGGAAGAAGAAGCCCCGGCUAACUUCGUGCCAGCAGCCGCGGUAAUACGAGGGGGGCGAGCGUUGUUCGGAAUUAUUGGGCGUAAAGGGUGCGUAGGCGGUUUGAUAAGUCUGAUGUGAAAUCUAUGGGCUCAACCCAUAGUCUGCAUUAGAAACUGUCGGGCUUGAGUAUGGGAGAGGUGAGUGGAAUUUCCGGUGUAGCGGUGAAAUGCGUAGAUAUCGGAAGGAACACCUGUGGCGAAAGCGGCUCACUGGACCAUUACUGACGCUGAUGCACGAAAGCUAGGGGAGCAAACAGGAUUAGAUACCCCGGUAGUCC
rnacentral:rRNA from 1 species